rnacentral:rRNA from 1 species
GAUGAACGCUCGCUACAGGCUUAACACAUGCAAGUCGGGGGGCAGCAUGACCUAGCAAUAGGUUGAUGGCGACCGGCGCACGGGUGAGUAACACGUAUCCAACCUGCCGAUUAUUCCGGGAUAGCCUUUCGAAAGAAAGAUUAAUACUGGAUAGCAUAACGAGAAGGCAUCUUCUUGUUAUUAAAGAAUUUCGAUAAUCGAUGGGGAUGCGUUCCAUUAGUUUGUUGGCGGGGUAACGGCCCACCAAGACAUCGAUGGAUAGGGGUUCUGAGAGGAAGGUCCCCCACAUUGGAACUGAGACACGGUCCAAACUCCUACGGGAGGCAGCAGUGAGGAAUAUUGGUCAAUGGACGAGAGUCUGAACCAGCCAAGUAGCGUGAAGGAUGACUGCCCUAUGGGUGGUAAACUUCUUUUAUAUGGGAAUAAAGUGGGCCACGUGUGGCUUUUUGUAUGUACCAUACGAAUAAGGAUCGGCUAACUCCGUG